ensembl:snRNA U6 U6 spliceosomal RNA
GUGCUUGCUUCGGCAACACAUACACACAACAUUGAACAGUACAGUGAAGAUUGGCAUGGGCCUUGCUCAAGAAUGAUACACAAAUUCAUGAAGCAUUCCAUAUUAAA